CAGAACACUUUUCCAGGGAGCUCAGGAGGCUGAGACAGAAAAGCCUCAGCUUCCAGUGUCAACAGCCUUUUCCCCUCCUUCCAGCCAAAGACAGCAGCAUUCCCAAGCGCAAGAGAAAGCGGGUCUCAGAAGGAAAUUCCGUGUCCUCUUCCUCCUCGUCUUCCUCUUCCUCGUCCUCUAACCCGGAUUCAGUGGCAUCGGCCAACCAGAUCUCGCUCGUGCAAUGGCCAAUGUACAUGGUGGACUAUGCCGGCCUGAACGUGCAGCUCCCGGGACCUCUUAAUUACUAGACCUCAGUACUGAAUCAGGACCUCACUCAGAAAGACUAAAGGAAAUGUAAUUUAUGUACAAAAUGUAUAUUCGGAUAUGUAUCGAUGCCUUUUAGUUUUUCCAAUGAUUUUUACACUAUAUUCCUGCCACCAAGGCCUUUUUAAAUAAGU
rnacentral:sRNA from 1 species